rnacentral:ncRNA from 1 species
AUUCCAGGCUAUUCAUUUACAGGUUACUCGUGGCCUAAGUGAGGAAGUCAAUGUCCUUGCUAGUCACUGUUUUAGUGGCGACACCUUCAAAUUGCUUGAAACCCGUCAUACAGCUUCAAGUACCACUUCAAUUGAGAAAUCUUUUGAAGGAACAGAGGUAACUCCUCUUCCCAAUCGGACUUUGUCCGCGAACCUAUGGUUCGAAGGUAACAAGCUUGAAGACAAGGUGGCAAUGCGCAGCCAAGCUCCUAAGUAUUUAAUAUAAGGAGAGAUAUAAGGUUCAGAGAGCAGACGGAGGUGGGCGGUAAUCAUCACCGCUUAAGGUGUGCUCCAGCCUCUUUCGAAAGAUUGAG